ensembl:lncRNA
CGUGCAUACUCCCAUCUCCCUUCUGAAAACAAGUUAAAAAAAAAAAUCAUUUGUGUGGGGGUUGGGGACCUGUUACAUAUACAAAGGUUUUCCUCAUAGUUUCAUUCUAGAUUUCAGCCUUCAGUGUUUCAGGGACCUGUGACAGCCAAAGCAGGAGGAAAAAAAAACCCAACAGGAAAGCAGCAAAAUGAAGCAUUCAUAAAUUCAGAAAAGCCAGAUGUAAAGGAAGCCUGUGAAGGCCACGUGUGUCAGAGCCUUUCACUGGUUGGUUCCCUGCUGUCUGACCCAAAGAAACGUCCAACAGCCGUUAUAUUCUUUGUCUUUAUUCUCAUGGAAACAGAAAGUGGAUUUGAGGUGAAACAUCUGGUUUGUUUUGGGAUGUUACAGGAGUAAGUGGCAUCCAGCUUGAAAUACUAACAUGCUCGUACAUCAUCUGGCUGUUGCUUCAGAUCCUCCUGAGCAUCUUGCCCAGAAGUGACCUCCAGAAUGCCUAUGUGCUAGUACAGAUUAAAUGUUCAGACAAAACGUGUGAGCAACAGAGGAGACUGUGCUGUAUGAAGCUGUUCUCCAAGGACAUUCUUCCACUUGUCCCUUCCACAAGAUCUGAAGAAAC